GCUGGCGGCGUGCUUAACACAUGCAAGUCGAGCGAUGAAACUUCCUUCGGGGAGUGGAUUAGCGGCGGACGGGUGAGUAACACGUGGGUAACCUGCCUCAAAGUGGGGGAUAGCCUUCCGAAAGGAAGAUUAAUACCGCAUAAUAUAAGAGAAUCGCAUGAUUUUCUUAUCAAAGAUUUAUUGCUUUGAGAUGGACCCGCGGCGCAUUAGCUAGUUGGUAAGGUAACGGCUUACCAAGGCAACGAUGCGUAGCCGACCUGAGAGGGUGAUCGGCCACAUUGGAACUGAGACACGGUCCAGACUCCUACGGGAGGCAGCAGUGGGGAAUAUUGCGCAAUGGGGGAAACCCUGACGCAGCAACGCCGCGUGGGUGAUGAAGGUCUUCGGAUUGUAAAGCCCUGUUUUCUAGGACGAUAAUGACGGUACUAGAGGAGGAAGCCACGGCUAACUACGUGCCAGCAGCCGCGGUAAUACGUAGGUGGCGAGCGUUGUCCGGAUUUACUGGGCGUAAAGGGUGCGUAGGCGGAUGUUUAAGUGGGAUGUGAAAUCCCCGGGCUUAACCUGGGGGCUGCAUUCCAAACUGGAUAUCUAGAGUGCAGGAGAGGAAAGCGGAAUUCCUAGUGUAGCGGUGAAAUGCGUAGAGAUUAGGAAGAACACCAGUGGCGAAGGCGGCUUUCUGGACUGUAACUGACGCUGAGGCACGAAAGCGUGGGUAGCAAACAGGAUUAGAUACCCUGGUAGUCCACGCCGUAAACGAUGGAUACUAGGUGUAGGGGGUAUCAACUCCCCCUGUGCCGCAGUUAACACAAUAAGUAUCCCGCCUGGGGAGUACGGUCGCAAGAUUAAAACUCAAAGGAAUUGACGGGGGCCCGCACAAGCAGCGGAGCAUGUGGUUUAAUUCGAAGCAACGCGAAGAACCUUACCUGGACUUGACAUCCCUUGCAUAGCCUAGAGAUAGGUGAAGCCCUUCGGGGCAAGGAGACAGGUGGUGCAUGGUUGUCGUCAGCUCGUGUCGUGAGAUGUUAGGUUAAGUCCUGCAACGAGCGCAACCCUUGUUAUUAGUUGCUACCAUUAAGUUGAGCACUCUAAUGAGACUGCCUGGGUAACCAGGAGGAAGGUGGGGAUGACGUCAAAUCAUCAUGCCCCUUAUGUCCAGGGCUACACACGUGCUACAAUGGUAGGUACAAUAAGACGCAAGACCGUGAGGUGGAGCAAAACUUAUAAAACCUAUCUCAGUUCGGAUUGUAGGCUGCAACUCGCCUACAUGAAGCUGGAGUUGCUAGUAAUCGCGAAUCAGAAUGUCGCGGUGAAUACGUUCCCGGGCCUUGUACACACCGCCCGUCACACCAUGAGAGCUGGUAACACCCGAAGUCCGUGAGGUAACCGUAAGGAGCCAGCGGCCGAAGGUGGGAUUAGUGAUUGGGGUGAAGUCGUAACAAGGU
rnacentral:rRNA from 1 species